CGCCUCUCGUCUACCCAUGAGAGGUCCAGCCUGCCCGGUGACCUAGUUUAACGGCCGCGGUAUCCUGACCGUGCGAAGGUAGCGUAAUCACUUGUCUUUUAAAUAGAGACUAGUAUGAAUGGCAUCACGAGGGCUAUACUGUCUCCCCUUUCUAAUCAGUGAAACUAAUCUUCCCGUGAAGAAGCGGGAAUUUUAUUAUAAGACGAGAAGACCCUAUGGAGCUUUAAACAAAAUAAUAUCUGCUAGUCCCCUUUUCCCUCCCCCGGGAGGAGUAACCGCCACUUUAGCAUUAUAUUUAUUAGUUUUCGGUUGGGGCGACCACGGAGUAAAAAUUAACCUCCAUGUUGAAUGGGCUAUGCCCUUAGCAAAAAACCACAACUUUAAGCACCAAUAAACUGACAUUAAUUGACCCAAUAUAUUGAUCAACGAACCAAGUUACCCUAGGGAUAACAGCGCAAUCCACUUCAAGAGCUCUUAUCGAAAAGUGGGCUUACGACCUCGAUGUUGGAUCAGGGUAUCCUAGUGGUGCAGCCGCUACUAAAGGUUCGUUUGUUCAACGAUUA
rnacentral:rRNA from 1 species